AGUACUAUGUUGAAGAGGAGUGGUGAGAGUAGGCUCCUCGUCUUGUUCCAGUUCUCAAAGGGAAUGCUUUCACCGUUUCCCCAUUCAGUAUUAUGUUGGUUGUGGGUUUGUCAUAGAUGGCUUUUAUUACAUUAAGGGAUCAUGGCACAAGUUGCAGUUUCCACCCUGCCAAUGGAAGAUGAGGAGUCCAUGGAAGAUGAGGAGUCCAUUGAAGAUGAGGAGUCUGUUGAAGAUGAUUCCGUGGAGAGCAGGAUGGUGGUAACAUUUCUCAUAUCAGCUCUCGAGUCCACGAUGUUGGAAUUUCUGAUGAAUCUGCAGUCAGCAUUUUGCAUGAACUGUGUGUGGAUUCAUUGCCUACAUUGGAUGAUGAAGUCUUGAGUGUUGCUACUAAGGCCCUGGUGUGUGAUGUUCCCCAUCCUGUGUCCAAGUCUUCUCAUUGUUCAGUUCCCACCUAUGAGUGAGAACAUGUGGUGUUUGGUUUUCUGUCCUUGCAACAGUUUGCUCAGAAUGAUGGUUUCCAGCUUCAUCCAUGUCCCUACAAAGGACAUGAACUCAUCAUUUUUUAUGCUGCAUAGUAUUCCAUGCAGUAUGUCCCGGAGAAAGUGUCAGAGCCUUUACGUGGACCUUCUCAUGAAAAAGGAAACAGAAUAGUCAAUGGAAAAGGAAAAGGGCCUCCUGCAAAACAUCCUUCCUUGAAGCCUAGCACUGAAGUGGAAGAUCCUGCUGUGAAAGGAGCAGUACAAAGAAAGAAUGUACAGACAUUGAGAGCAGAACAAACCUUACCAGUGGCUUUAGAGGAAGAGCAAGAAAGGUGUGAAAGAAGUGAAAAGAAGCAAUCACAGGUCAAAGAAGGAAAUAAUACAAACAAAAGUGAAAAAAAUACAACUAUCAGAAAAUGUAUGUCAUAGUACAUCUUCUGCUGCUGCUGACAGAUUAACCAAACAAAGAAAGGUUGGGAAAACGUAUCCUCGGCAAUUUCCCAAGAAACUGAAGGAAGAGCAUGAUAGAUGCAUCUUAAGACAAGAAAGUGAAGAAAAAACAAAUGUUAAUAUGCUGUACAAAAAAAUAGAGAAGAAUUAGAAAGGAAAGAGAAACAAUAUAAGAAAGAAGUUGAAGCAAAACAACUUGAACCAACUGUUCAAUCACUAGAGAUGAAACUGAAGACUACAAGAAAUACUCCAAAUCAGAUAAAUCAAUCUUUGGAUUUUCAUAAUCACGAAGAAAUGAAAGAUCUGAUGGAUGAAAAUUGCAUUUUGAAGACAGAUAUUGCUAUACUCAGACAGGAAAUAUGCACAAUGAAAAAUGACAACCUGGAAAAAGAAAAUAAAUAUCUUAAGGACGUUAAAAUUGUUAAAAAAACAAAUGCUGCCCUUGAAAACUAUAUAAAACUCAAUGAGGAAUUGAUAACAAAAACAGCAUUCCGGUAUCAACAAGAGCUUAAUGAUCUCAAAGCUGAGAAUACAAGGCUCAAUUCCGAACUGUUGAAGGAAGAAGAAAGCAACAAAAGACUGGAAGCUGAAAUUGAAUCAUCAGUCUACACUGACUGCUGCUAUAAGUAAACACAGUGAAAGUGUGAAAACAGAAAGAAACCUAAAACUUGCAUUAGAGUGAACACAAGACGUUUCCGUACAAGUAAAAAUGAGUUCUGAUAUUUCCGAAGUAGAAGAUAAGAAUGAAUUUCUUACUGAACAACUUUCUAAAACGCAAAUUAAAUUCAAUACCUUAAAAGAUAAGUUCCAUAAGAAAAGAGAUACUCUCAGAAAAAAGUCAUUGGCUUUAGAAACUCUCCAAACGACCUAAGACAAACACAGCAGCAAAUAAAGGAAAUGAAAGAGAUGUAUGAAAAUGCAGAAGCUAAAGUGAAUAAUUCCACUGGAAAGUGGAGCUGUGUAGAAGAGCGGAUAUGUCAACUCCAACAUGAAAAUCCGUGCAUUGAACAGCAACUAGAUGAUGUUCAUCAGAAAGAGGAUCAUAAAGAGAUAGUAACUAAUAUCCAAAGAGGCUUUAUUGAGAGUGGAAAGAAAGACCUCAUGCUAGAAGAGAAAAAUAAGAAACUAAUGAAUGAAUGUGAUCAUUUAAAAGAAAGUCUCUUUCAAUAUGAGAGAGAGAAAGCAGAAAGAGUAGUGGUUGUGAGACAACUUCAACAAGAAGCGGCUGACAGCCUAAAAAAAUUAACUAUGUUAGAGUCUCCAUUGGAAGGUAUAUCACAUUAUCACAUUAAUUUGGAUGAGACACAGGUCCCAAAGAAGAAAUUAUUUCAAGUGGAAAGUCAAUUUGAUGAUCUUAUGGCGGAGAAGGAAGCUGUAUCUUCAAAAUGUGUCAAUUUGGCUAAAGAGAAUCAAGUUUUUCAACAGGAGUUAUUAUCUAUGAAAAAAGUACAACAGGAAUGUGAAAAACUUGAGGAGGAUAAAAAGAUGUUGGAAGAAGAAAUAUUAAAUCUUAAGACACAUAUGGAAAACAGUAUGGUAGAACUUAGUAAACUACAAGAAUAUAAAUCAGAGCUAGAUGAAAGGGCAAUGCAGGCAGUAGAAAAAUUAGAAGAAAUCCAUUUACAGGAACAAGCACAACAUAAAAAACAAUUAGAGCAGUUAAACAAGGAUAUAAUACAGCUUCACUAAAUAAGAAGGAACUCACACUUAAAGAUGUGGAAUGUAAAUUCUACAAAAUGAAAACUGCUUAUGAAGAGGUUACAACUGAGUUAGAAGAAUAUAAGGAAGCCUUUGCAGCAGCAUUGAAAGCUAAUAGUUCCAUGUCAAAAAAAUUAACUAAAUCGAAUAAGAAAAUAGCAAUGAUCAGUAUCAGCUCUUUAUGGAGAAAGAGCAGGUGAAAUAUUUUCUCAGCACUCUUCCUAGAAGGCAAGGUCAAGAGUCACCUUGUGUUGAAAAUCUUACUAGUAUAGGACUCAACAGAAAAUAUAUUCCCCAAAUGCCCAUAAGAAUUCCUACUUCAAACCUCAGACUUCAAAUAACUGCCAGAACUACUUGACUGAGCUGUUGCUGUACUGGACACUUGCUCCCAUCUACUUUCUUCUCUGGAAUCCACGGGUAAGCCACAUCUAAUGAAGAGAAUAUUUAACCAUAAAGUCUUAAGGAAAAAUUGUAUGAUGAUUUAAAAGAUUAUAAAACUUUAUUACUGGGCUAUUUACACAUUUUAAUUGUUUCUCAUAAAAUAUAUAAAAUUCCA
ensembl:lncRNA novel transcript